rnacentral:rRNA from 1 species
CCUACGGGAGGCAGCAGUGGGGAAUAUUGCACAAUGGGGGAAACCCUGAUGCAGCCAUGCCGCGUGAGUGAUGAAGGCCCUAGGGUUGUAAAGCUCUUUUGUGCGGGAAGAUAAUGACUGUACCGCAAGAAUAAGCCCCGGCUAACUUCGUGCCAGCAGCCGCGGUAAU